rnacentral:lncRNA from 1 species
UCGGCAAUGGCCUCGUUACAGGGAAUGCUGCCACAAAUGGGUGCUUCAUUUUUGGAGCCACUGUCCUCAAAUGAGUUGUUGCAUCUGGUAACUCUGCCAGGUGUGCCAACUUUCCCACCUGCACAGGCAUUCCAGAUACUGACCAAAAUAGCAGAAGAAACAAAUUUCAGUGCCAACACGCUCUGCAGAUUGAAGCCAUUGUUUCCGGGUCUGGGGCCUUCUUUCUUGAGAAAGCUGGUUGAUCCUGAGUCUGCGCCUGAUUGUCUGUGUUGGAGUUUAAUGCUGGCUGACCUGCAACCUGCUCAUCGAGCGAUGGUCCAUUUUGCACUCCAACAGGUUUGAACUUCUAGUGUUUGAG